CGAUUCUGGCUCAGAACGACGCUGGCGGCGCGUCUUUAAGCAUGCAAGUCGAACGGCAAGAGGUAGCAAUACCUCCUAGAGUGGCGGACUGGUGAGUAACACGUGGGUGACAUACCCUUCAGAUGGGGAUAGCUAUUAGAAAUAGUAGAUAAUACCGAAUACGAGCACAGGGGUUAGAGAUCUGCGAGGAAAGGAGCUAAGGCUCCGCUGAAGGAAUGGCCUGCGGCCCAUUAGCUAGUUGGUGAGGUAAGAGCCCACCAAGGCGAUGAUGGGUAUCCGGCCUUAGAGGGUGAACGGACACAUUGGGACUGAGAUACGGCCCAGACUCCUACGGGAGGCAGCAGCUAAGAAUAUUCCGCAAUGGACGAAAGUCUGACGGAGCGACGCCGCGUGGAUGAAGAAGGCCGGAAGGUUGUAAAAUCCUUUUGAAACUGAAGAAUAAGCGUUGUAGGGAAUGACAGCGUGGUGACAGUAGGUUUUGAAUAAGCAACGGCUAAUUACGUGCCAGCCGCUGC
rnacentral:rRNA from 1 species